UGAGAUUCCCUUUGAAGUGAUGUUUGGCAAAGCACCUGGCCCUUUCUAUUGCCACUUACAUUCCAGAUACUACACAAUUAGAAGUUUUGGAUGUUUCCCUCCAAGAAAGAGAUACCAAACUGCAAAUCCUCAAAAGGACAUUGAACAUCACCCAAAUAAUAAAACCCUAACUUCAAUGUGUUUCUAUAGCUGAAAAGUUAACCACCAAGAGUUUGAGACAUAUAAAAUGAAUUGAAUAAAGAUUCAAAAAAAAACUCUGAACCGAGAAAAACACUAAAAGGCAUAACUCCUUAAAAUGUAUAGAAAAACAGCAAAUUAGUAAAUGAAAUUAAGUAUGUAGAACCUAAAAAACAAUGAAAAAUUACAACGGUUAUGUAAGAAAUUGGCAAAGUCUAACCCAAAAAUGGAUUACCUUGGCUACGUCAAGGGGGUUAACGAGUAUGGCAGAGAGAAAGGCGGCACCAGCAGCAGAAAAUGCUCUCUCCGGGACCCCUAAUUUUCCAGCAGACGUGGGAGGCGGAGAAUCAAAAUGAGAACGAGAAGCGACAAUUCCCUCUGACACCACCAUUGAUUCUGACAUUAGCGACACGCAGCGGCCGUCAAAUUCAACUCUCGAAGGUUGCUCUUCUGACUCCUCUCUGGUCAUCCACGAAUUUUGCAUUUGCUUUGAUUCUACUUCUACCAUAUUCUUUUGUUAUACCUCUCUUUCAGCCCAAAAUUUGAUCACCCUAAAAUUGCGCGUUUCCGAAUGUUAGCUUUGUUGCAUUCUCAAAUAAAAAAUCAUCAAAUAGACGAAAUUUUCAACAAAAAAUUUAAAAUUUUCCUCAAAUCGUAAAAUAGAGGGAUGAAGAAGAGUCUCUCUAAAUUAAUUUAGGGCUGAGGACUGCGGUUGGGAGACUAAAAAAAG
rnacentral:lncRNA from 1 species